rnacentral:rRNA from 1 species
CGCUGGCGGCGUGCCUAAUACAUGCAAGUCGAACGGUCUUUCUAUGGAAGCUUGCUUCCAACUGAAAAGAUAGUGGCGAACGGGUGAGUAACACGUGGGUAACCUGCCCAUAAGAGGGGGGAUAACAUCCGGAAACGGGUGCUAAUACCGCAUAGUUUUCUUGAUCGCAUGAUCGGGAAAGGAAAGACGGCCUUUGUGCUGUCGCUUAUGGAUGGACCCGCGGCGUAUUAGUUAGUUGGUGAGGUAACGGCUCACCAAGACGAUGAUACGUAGCCGACCUGAGAGGGUGAUCGGCCACAUUGGGACUGAGACACGGCCCAAACUCCUACGGGAGGCAGCAGUAGGGAAUCUUCCGCAAUGGACGAAAGUCUGACGGAGCAACGCCGCGUGAGUGAAGAAAAGGUUUUCGGAUCGUAAAACUCUGUUGUCAGAGAAGAACAAGUUGGAGAGUAACUGCUCCAGCCUUGACGGUAUCUGACCAGAAAGCCACGGCUAACUACGUGCCAGCAGCCGC